rnacentral:rRNA from 1 species
UACGGAGGGAGCUAGCGUUGUUCGGAAUUACUGGGCGUAAAGCGCACGUAGGCGGAUUGUUAAGUCAGGGGUGAAAUCCUGGAGCUCAACUCCAGAACUGCCCUUGAUACUGGCGGUAUCGAGUCCGGGAGAGGUGAGUGGAACUGCGAGUGUAGAGGUGAAAUUCGUAGAUAUUCGCAAGAACACCAGUGGCGAAGGCGGCUCACUGGCCCGGUACUGACGCUGAGGUGCGAAAGCGUGGGGAGCAAACAGG